GAUGAACGCUGGCGGCGUGCCUAAUACAUGCAAGUCGAGCGAAGCGGGGACGGGUGAGUAACACGUGGAUAAACUGCUUUAAGACUGGGGUAACUUCGGGGAACCGGAGCUAACACGGAUAAUUAUACAUGGAUGCGCGAUGCAUUAGCUAGUUGGUAAGGUAACGGCUUACAAAGGCAACGAUGCAUAUCCGACCUGAGAGGGUGAUCGGCCACACUGGAACUGAGACACUGUCCAGACUCCUACGGGAGGCAGCAGUAGGGAAUCUUCCGCAAUGGGCGAAAGCCUGACGGAGCAACGCCGCGUGAGUGAUGAAGGUCUUCGGAUCGUAAAACUCUUUUAUCAGGGAAGCGGUACCUAAUCAGAAAGCCACGGCUAACUCCGUGCCAGCAGCCGCGGUAAUCC
rnacentral:rRNA from 1 species